AUCUACGCCCAUACCACCCUGAACGUGCCCGAUCUCGUCUGAUCUUGGAAGCUAAGCAGGGUUGGGCCCGGUUAGUACUUGGAUGGGAGAGAGCAGCCAGUGGGAGCUU
rnacentral:rRNA from 1 species